GUAUAUCUGCAGUAACUCCAAAUGCAGUUGGCAGUUUGAAACAGAAGCGGGUGCCUCUGCGUCCAUGCAGGUGAAUGGGUCUAAUUUGAUCAGCGAAGCAGCACUUGUUUUCAUGAGGCCGCUUUGGUUGUCAUGGCAGUGAUGGAAGAGGUGAGAACAUCUGUUCUGUGGUAUGAGAGUUCUCUUUUAUUCUCUCCUCCCUCUGAACUCGUGAAUCUCGAGGACAGCAGGAAUGCGGCGCUUCGGAUCCAAAUCUAACACUUCACAGCGAGCCGGUGACAUUGCUAGGUGUCCACCAUCUGUGUGUUUGACCUGCCAAGUGCCAUCUCAUCAUCAUCAUCACCAUGAGUCAGCCCUGCAUCAACCUAUGUGUGAAUUUGUUUGUUUGUGUCUGGCAAAGCUUCCUGUGUGUAAUUUCCAUGUUAAGUUAUUCAUUGUUAAAUUUAGUGAGGAAGCUUGUGCUUUGCUUUGAAUGGCUCAAUGCUUGGGGACUAACUCAUCUUCUCAAGAUCAUUGCCUCGGUCAAGGGCUGCGGCUGAAGCAGUAUUUUUAUCCUGUGUACGGACAGUGUUUUUUUAUCCUUGUUGUGGUUAUUUUUUUUCAUUUAUGCAGAAUGUAAAUUAAGAAUAAAACACAUCACAGAUGUGCGAUUGAUAUGAAAUUCUCACUAGAAUGUCAGUAACAAUGCAUCCAGGCCACAUAGAUGUUGAUAUUUUAAUUGUAAUAAA